rnacentral:rRNA from 1 species
CAUCACAGCCAUAUCACCCUGCAGCUCAAGACCGGUAACUCACUGAAGUUAAAGCAGGACUGAGCCUGUUCAGUACCUGAAUGGGAGACCACAUGGGAAAACUAAGUUGCUGUUGGAA